AAAAAAAAAACUGGUUUUGGCUCAAAAGCCCACCAAACCCAAAUCGAGCCAUUCACAGAUGCAUGGACGAGUAUUUUCAUAAACCGAAGUACUAUCUCGCUGUAAACGUUAAUGGCAAUCAUUGGGUCACCGUCGUGAUGCAUGUACCCAAGAAGGAAUUUCAAGUAUUAGAUUCCCUCUAUGUUCUUCACAGUUACAUACAUAUCAUUGAAGCAUUGAGAACCGAAAUUGCUUAUGACAUAGCAAAAGUAGAUCAUGGUUUUCCUGAUCCUUCGAACUGGCCUAUAAAAUAAUACAAAAUGCCAAGACAAAAGGAUGGAAACUCAUGUGGACUUUGGGUCCUAAAAUGUAUGGAAGAAUGGGAUGGAGAUGAAUUUAGAACCAUUAUUACACAGACACUCGUUGACUCUACCAGAGAAGUUAUGGUCGGUGAAAUAAUUUUUUCACCUAGUAACGAGUUGGAUAGGAUCAAAGAUAAACUACUCAACGCCAAUGGCGAGGAAGAUGAUGCUUAGGUCCAAGGUUUAGUGGAUAUGGUCGGGUUUUCGUCCCGUAGAAGGUUUCCCGGUGGUGUUCAAGACUUAGUUCAUUUUAUUUUCUAUUUUCAGUUAGCUGUGUAAUGACUUGGAAACUAUACUUUACAACACCUAUUUGCGUCAUAUGGAAUACCA